AAUAUGGCUGCGCCCAUGUAGUGUAAAAACGAACCUACCAAAACUAACAGACAGUCAAUACAUGGUUCAGAAAAAAUCACAGGGGAUUAUAGAUUUAAUGAAGCAUCGGUCACCAACAUGCUAAACUGACAAGAACUUGAAAACCGGCAAUUCAGAAGAACAAGCCAAAGAGUAGUAUUUCUGUACAAAGUGGUUGAGGAUAUGGUCCCAGCUAUCAAACCUGACAAAUUCUUGGUAAAAAGCAAUCUUUACCAAAAGGAACAUCAAGCCGACACGCUUUUCAGACUUUGAAAGUGAUAAACUUGGUUAAGGCUAUUGAAACAAAAAACUGUGAAACCGAGCAAUUUAAAAACACAUUCUUCGUCAAAACUGUGAUUCAUUGGAGCCAACUGGAAGAAGAGGUAGUGUGCGCCAAGUCAGUUGAGAGCUUCAAAACAGCUCACCAAGGCCGUCAAUAGGGGCUCGCUCUCCUGUCAAGUUAAAGCCAGAAUUGGUAGCUUCGAUGUAACGAUGCAGAUACAUAUAGUAUGAAAAGUUUUAUACAUGUAUAAUAAACAUUUAUAUUUACAUCUAUUGAUGUCUCAGUACAAGUAUGAUUAUUUGUUUUUGUUGUCAUCUAUGACAUAUAGUAUAAACAAAUUUGAGAAAGUGUAAUCUGUAGACAUGACAGUUCCGCGAAAAUGUUAACAAACUUUUGCGUCAACUUAUUCAUUCAUGUAAAAACUGAUACAAGCCAAUAUUAGAAUUCAAUAGAUUUAGACUAUAAAAUCAGUUCAUGAUUUGACCCGUUCAAGUUUAUUAAGGUCAAAAUAAGAUUAGAUCAAGUUUCAUAAUGUAAAAUGUGAAUGUAGUCCUGAGCAAAUGGUGAAAAUGAUUUAGAUCCUAGUGCAAUAUGAGAUGGGUGACAUGUAUUUAGAUCCUGGUGCUCUAGAGGGGUGACAUUGAAUUGGAUCUGUUUGCUCAAACUAAAAUUUACAGUGCUUUAAAGAAACAAAAAAUAAGAUGUCAUGCUUUAUAAAGUUAUAAACUGUUACAUGUAGGUACAAUUUGUAUAUACUUACUUCUUGACAAUUUUUUUUUAUUUCUAAGUGUUUAAAAGUAGGACGACAUAAAAUAAUUGAUAUUAAAGUCUUACUUUGUUUUUUAAAUAAAUAUUAUUUGAGGGA